UACGUAGGGGGCAAGCGUUGUCCGGAUUUAUUGGGCGUAAAGAGCUCGUAGGCGGUUUGUUAAGUCGGUCGUGAAAGCCCGGGGCUCAACCCCGGAGGGUCGACCGAUACUGGCAGACUAGAGUACAGAAGAGGUAACUGGAAUUCCCGGUGUAGCGGUGAAAUGCGCAGAUAUCAGGAGGAACACCAAUGGCGAAGGCAGCUCGCUGGAAUGGUACUGACGCUGAGGCGCGAAAGCGUGGGGAGCAAACAGG
rnacentral:rRNA from 1 species